AAGGAUCAUUACUGAAGGCUAACGCCGACACUGUGAAAUGCUCGCAAGAGCAAUGCUUGGGCUUUCUAACGGAGGCCCAACUUUUAACUUUGAAUCUUUAGAUCUGACAAUUAGAAACUUAAAACUUUCAACAACGGAUCUCUUGGUUCUCGCAUCGAUGAAGAACGCAGCAAAGCGCGAUAGGUAAUGCGAAUUGCACACGUGAGUCAUUGAAUCUUUGAACGCACAUUGCGCUACUAGGUUCUCCUAGUAGCAUGCUUGUUGGAGCGCCGAUCUUUCUCCUAAAACUCUUUAGAGAUUUAGGGAUCUGCUCCUUACAGGAGUUAAAAUCAUGGAAGUGCACACGUUAGAUAACUCUGUGCAGUUUUACUAUUUUUUUGGCCCCCAAUCAAGCAAGACUACCCGCUGAACUUAA
rnacentral:rRNA from 1 species